UACAGAGACUGCAAGCGUUAUUCGGAUUCACUGGGCGUAAAGGGUGCGCAGGCGGUUGAGUGUGUCAGAUGUGAAAUCCCGAGGCUCAACCUCGGAACUGCGUCUGAAACUACUCGACUAGAGUACUGGAGAGGGUAACGGAAUUCACGGUGUAGCAGUGAAAUGCGUAGAUAUCGUGAGGAACACCAGAGGCGAAGGCGGUUACCUGGACAGUUACUGACGCUCAGGCACGAAAGCAUGGGGGAGCAAAAGGG
rnacentral:rRNA from 1 species